rnacentral:rRNA from 1 species
GACGUAGGAGGCGAGCGUUAUCCGGAUUCACUGGGCGUAAAGCGCAUGUAGGCGGUUGUGUAAGUCCGAUGUUAAAGCCCCUGGCUCAACUGGGGGAGGUCAUUGGAGACUACUCGACUUUGAGGGCAACAGAGGCACGUGGAACUCCCGGUGUAGCGGUGGAAUGCGUAGAGAUCGGGAAGAACACCAGUGGCGAAGGCGACGUGCUGGGUUGCAACUGACGCUGAGAUGCGAAAGCGUGGGGAGCGAACAGG